rnacentral:sRNA from 1 species
AAAAAAAAAAAAAUUUUUCUCACCGAAAAAACCUCUCUCGGCGGCGAUUAAUUUCAUCGUCGUUGCUCUCAUCUUUUCGAUCCAAGUAGUAGUUGUUUCUAGAAAUUGAUUGUGUUUCCGAUUAUCCUUUUCAAAUCGUCUUCUCGUUGCAGUCGCCGGUGACAAUCGAAGGAUUAAUUUUUGGUCUUCCCUCGCCGACGAUUUGGGUAAGUAGAACCACUGAUUUCCGAUUAUUUACAGUUGCUCUUCUUAUUUCUCUUCCCCUAUACCUUUAAUUGCAUGUCAAUCAUCGCUUGUGUCUAGAUCUAAAGUUCGGUUCGUUGUUAACUAACCCUAAUUUUGUUUCGUGUACUGUUGAUGAAUGAAAGUUAGGCGACCAUCGAGAGUUUGCGGCUAAAGUCUCUGUUUUUUUUUUGGGAAUCCUUCUGUGCUUUUUUGGAAAACACAUGAGGUUUGUAAAUAUUGAUGUGCUUUGUUUGAAUAACCCACGAGGUUUGUAGAUAUUGCGUCCUUUAUCUGUGUUUCUUACAUGCAACUAACCCAUUUUUUGUCUCUUACUAUUCACGAAAGAAGAUUAGGCGAUAUCGGAGGCUUUUGUGGCUGACGCUGUGGGUUUUGUUUGAAAAACACUUGAGGUUUGUAAAUAUUGUCUUUUGAUCUGUUCUCUUUUAUACUAUACUAACCCAAAUUUUGAACGUCUUACGUUCCAUGACUGCAGAUUCGGCGAUAUCGAGGAUUUUGAACGUCUUACGUUCCAUUCAUUUUCGUUUAUUUAUCGCCGAUCUUCUUCUAUUUCUUCCCCUUUAUACUUCAAUUGCAUAGAAAAUAACGAUUGUGGCCAGAUCUAAAGUUCGGUUCUUUUUUCCCUCUAUCUAUAUCUUCUUCUAUUUCUUCCCAUGUAUACUUCCAUAAGUAUCUUGCAUAGGGUUCUUACCUGUUGUGUCCAGAUCUAAGUUUUGAUUCUUUUUUAUUUAUUCUCUACUAACCCUCAAUUUUUUCUUAAUCUCUCUACAUGAAGUUAGAUAAGGCGAGAUCUGGGAAUUUCCUCAAACUCUUUGGAUUCUGCUUCGUCCGUCUAGGGUUUUUGUUUAAAAACAAGAGGUUUGUUCAUAUUUUGCAUGUUAUUUAUAGUUGGUUCAUGUAUUUUAUAUAGAUAACAUGUUAUGUCUACUCUAUAAUGUGUUCUUGUAUAAUGAUGCUUGUUAUUUUGACUAAUUGGUUUCUCUCUAUAAUAUGUUUUCAUUUUAAAUUUCAUGCUUUUAUACCUUUUGGUCUGCCAUUAAGUACUCUGUUAUUUCAUUUGUUUGCAUUUGUUUUAUAGUUUUUUGUAUGUGUUUUAUAUAGCUGCUAAUCUUUUUUUCCUUCUUUUGCCGUUUGCGAGAGAAGUUUUAAUUCGUUCUCCUCCUAUCCAAUCUGGUAUUCGCCAAUGAAUCUGGUAAGUUCAGUCCUGGGUUUCCGAUUAUUUAUCUGUGUCUUCUUCUAUUUCUUCCCAUGUAUACUUACAUAAGUAUCCUACAUAGAGUUCUUACCGAUUGUGUCCAGAUCUAAGUUUUGGUUCUUUUUUAUUUAGUCUCUACUAACCCUCAAUUUUUUCUUAAUCUCUCUACAUGAAGUUAGAUAAGGCGAGAUCUGGAAAUUUCCUCAAAUUUUGUGGAUUCUUUUUCGUCCGUUUAGGGGUUAAAAAAAGAAGAAGAGGUUUGUUCAUAUUAUGCAUGUUAUUUAUAGCUGGUUCAUGUAUUUUAUAUAGAUAACAUGCUAUGUUUAUUCUAUAAGGUGUUUUUCUAUAAUGAUGCUUGUUAUUUAUAGUCAUUGAUUUAUCUGUAUACUAUGUUUUCAUUUUAGAUUUUAUACUUUUAUACCUUUAAAAAGGGAUCGAGAUGUGUUUGAGUUGAUUUUCGGAUCCAGUGAUAUAACUACACAAAUACAUAUUUAUAUACAUGCAUAUAUAUAUAUAUAUAUAAUUAAAACUGGAUUUUUCUCAAAAUUUUUUAUAAAAUUGGUUGCUUGGGUUCCCUAUUUAUUAUCUUAGGGUUUAGUAUUAUGUAAUUGAA